rnacentral:rRNA from 1 species
AUGGCAUUCUACUCAGAUAAUCAUGCUUAUGCAAGCAACACUACAAAUAGCACGGAAAGUAUUCAAGAACUGAUAAGUAAGAUUUCCCAUCGAUUAGAUGAUUUAGCUCGGCAGCGAGAAGUAGUUUUUGAGGAUAGGCCUAGCUCUUAUGAUCCUUAUUCUAGAGGCCAUCCUUAUGUUGCUCCUACAUGCCAUAUCUGUGGAUUUCAGGGCCAUUCACCCGCUGAAUGUCAGCGUGGUUACUCUCACCCUCCCGAUUGUUUUGGCAUGAGCUUCGCCCCACAGCCUAGCUCAUACCAAAACAAUUACUCAUAUGGGUGGCCUGAAAACCAGAAUAUGUCAUAUAGGAACAACAGCCCUGAGAACUCAUCGUUUGCCUCUAGUUAUCAAUUGCAGGGAAUUGGGUACAAUGAGGAGAGCAACAACUAUGCACCACAACAGUUUUAUUCAGCUCCUAUUCAUAUACCUCAGAACCAGGAGAUGUUGCCAAUGGAGUUAAAUGGUCCUCCAUUUGGUCAACCAACACCUUCAACACAAGUGCCCACACAAGAUGAUUUUGACGAUAUAGACAAGCUCACAUUGCUUAGUCUCGAGUUCACUUGGAGUGCUGAAGAUGAUCCAAUCAGGCCGGUGAUACUAGAGGAAAUGAAGAAGAUCAAGAGUGGAAAAGAGUUAGUGGAGGAAGUAAGGAAGAUUGAGAAGAACAUCAACGCUGGCGGCACUAUUUCUUCACAGCUAGAGCUGAGUAUUUCAGGGAUAUCCCUUGAGGUGUGUGAGUUUCCAACACCGUCACAUCCAGCUGAGCAAGAUAGCAAGAGCCCAGAGGAAGAGAUACCUCAGAUUGAAGAAGAUCAACUCAAAGACAAGGAACAAGAGGAUCCAGAGCUCGAAAGCCCAAGCAAUCAAGUUGAAGAUUCAUCAUCUAUUACUCUUGAAGAAGUAGAAGAAGCUGUUGUAGUUGAAGAUGAAGAACGAGAAAUUCAUUUGCCUAUUGUCAUACAAGAGCGUAAUGUAGCAGGUUCGAGGUGA